rnacentral:rRNA from 1 species
AAUCAACGCUGGCGGCGUGCCUCAGACAUGCAAGUCGAACGCGAAAUUUCCCUUCGGGAGAAAGUAGAGUGGCGCACGGGUGAGUAACACGUAGGUAAUUUGCCUUUGGGUGGGGAAUAACUCAGGGAAACUUGAGCUAAUACCGCAUAAUGCAGCGGCUCGACAUCGAGACAGUUGUUAAAGCGGGGGAGUUGGAGCAAUCCGACCUCGCGCCUAAAGAGAAGCCUGCGGCAGAUUAGCUAGUUGGUAAGGUAAUGGCUUACCAAGGCGACGAUCUGUAACCGGCCU